UACGUAGGCAGCAAGCGUUGUUCGGAGUUACUGGGCGUAAAGAGUGCGUAGGUGGUGCCCUAAGUCUGUUGUGAAAUCUCCCGGCUUAACUGGGAGGGUGCGGUGGAAACUGGGGUGCUUGAGUGUGGGAGAGGUAAGCGGAAUUCCUGGUGUAGCGGUGAAAUGCGCAGAUAUCAGGAGGAACACCGGUGGCGAAGGCGGAUCUCUGGGCCGUAACUGACGCUGAGGAGCGAAAGCAUGGGGAGCGAACAGG
rnacentral:rRNA from 1 species